ensembl:snRNA U6 U6 spliceosomal RNA
GUGCUCACUUUGGCAGCACAUAUACUAAAAGUGGAAUGAUACAGAGAAGAUAAACAUGGCCUCUGCACAAGGAUGACACGCAAAUUCGUGAAACAUUCCAUAUUUUU